AGCAGCUGCUGCUGAUCCGGAUCAAAAGCGAGGCUGAAUACCUGUUUCUCCAUUCUACACUCCCUCCGGGAACCUGGAAGCUCAGCAGGAGAUGAAGUGGCUGGAGGCGUGUGAGUCCUGCACUUGAUAGAGGCGGAUUCUGUCAAGCCUUACCUGGAUGGUGUGUGUGACUAUCCCCAUAGAAACGAGCAGGCUGUCUCAUGAAGCCUCCAUUCUAGCCUUUUGUGAUCACCUGUGAUCUUAGAGGGCUCCUCUACAACCCCGAGUCCCAAAUAGGUGACUACAAAGUGGGCUCACACUUAUUUCUCCACUAUUCCUGUGUUCUUUCAGGGGGCUGACCAUCAAACCUACUUAGAAAUCAGACCUUGAAUAAGAGUUCUGCUACAAAUGGAAGACUGAAAACUACCUGGGAGAAAUUAAAAAACAAGCAAACACAUGAACAAAAGUCCAUGCAUCAGGGGAAACAUGCCACCAUCACCUCUCGGGCGUGAACUCCUCUGCUUCACUCCGUCAGUUCCAACCCGGCUCACUCUUUGGAUUCUUAGAGCAUCAAACAGCCAGGAGCAACCCCGCCUGUGCCUGCAGACUUUGGGGCUUGUUGGUUCCUGUAUCGGGAGCGUGCUCUCCCUUCUUUCAAGUUUUUUCUCAUCACCUUCUUGGUAAGUUCCCUUCUGAUUAUGUCAUUAAGAUUACAACCCACCCUCCGCACUCCGUGGCCUGCCUUUGCUUUAUCUUUCUACUUAGUGUGAAUUGCCGCCUGAAACAUGAGGUGUUUUUUCGACUCAGUACUUACAUCCUUCUCCUCCCAAAGCUGGAAUUAAGAUCCAUGAAGGCGGGGGCUCUGUCUGUUUUGUUCAUGUUGCCCUCCCUGCACUGAGAACAGUACAGGCACAGGAAGGACUGCCAAUCAUUGUGUGUUGGGUUAAUGAAUGAAACAAUAAAUAAAUGAAUACCAAGCCAAAAUAGAAAAAUUCUUAAAAUGGUCAGUUUAAUUUUCGUUGCUUCUGCCUCACAAAUUAAGUCAGGAAAACAUGGCUACGUGUUGUCGUGGUUUUCAUAUUGCUCCCUAGAACUUUUGAAAAUGUCAAAGCUAUGAAGAUAGCAGUGGUGCUUGGGCAGUAACGGACCCUACGUGAAUUUGACAGGUUUAAUAUUUUAAAUGUUAACAGGCAAAGAUACCACCUGGAGGGUGAAAUAAUAAUUGCUAUGAUUCUCAUAUUUCAAGUUGUUUUAUUUUAUUUAUAAAAUGAAACAGUAACUUCAGUUCAGAAGACCCAUGUUUUUCUAUUUCACCAAGAUCCUUCAAAGUUCUGUUGAAAAACAACCAAUCAAAUAAAGUAUGAAUUUUUAGCAAAAGCACCCAUGUCAUUUUACAAAAUUUAUUUUAUUAGUUCAUCAGCGCAUGAGAGGUGACUGUCAUUUUGCAUAAGCUCGUUAUUACGAGUAGAAACUACUCAGCUUCAGCAUCAGAAUGGCUCUCUCAGGGACACUUAGAGCUGCGAUAUCUCAUCCUGAUGGAUUUCCAAGCACGAGCCUUGAAACAAUCAUGCAUUUCCCAGUUGCAAUUAAACUGGGUUCUCUACAGAAACUAAGGAAGAAACAGCAUUGAGGAUGUUACCUACAUGUAGGGACAUACAUUGUUCUGUACCGAAAUGAACACUAAGAGACUGGAGACCAAUUUUAGUGGCCUUAUUGCACCACUUCUUAGUUUCUUAUUUUUCGAUAUGUUAAUUAAUGGUUUUGAACUCAGUUUCCAAAACAGGGAUAUUAAGAAUUAGCCCAUGUGAAGCUCAGGGGAUGGGCUCAAAGAUUCCUUAAGGUACAGUUUACCUCUAAGUUCCCCUCAGCUUUUCAUUCUCCAGGAAGCCCUUCUUUCUCUCCUGUUGUCUGCACAUGUGUGUCAGGAUCCAUGGAGAAGACACAUGGCAGUAGGGGACCUUGUCCACCUCACAGGUUGUCCCCUGAGUCACUGGCGUUGGAGUUAUUGAGGGUCAAACAUCUGGUUCUAUUUUCUUACAAGACUUGACUAAGGGAACUGUCUUUUAGAAGGCCCAAGCUCAUUGCUUGAAACCAAAACAGUUAAAUAAGCUGAUUUAUAUGAUGUAAAUUAUUUUAUCCUCUGUAUCUUAAAGUAUAAUGUUAGAAUUGAUUUGUUGGCUGGGUGGGGUGGCAUGCCUCUGUAAUUGCAACACUUCAGGAGGUUGAGGCAGGAGGAUCAUGGGAGCCCAGGAAGUCGAGGUUGCAGGGAGCUGUGUUCAUGUCACUGCACUCCAGCCUGGGCCACAGAGUGAGACCCUGUCUCUCUCUCUCUCUCCCUCUUUCUACAUACAUAUAUGAAUUAUGUAUAUGUAAAUUAUAUAUUUGUUGAGGAAAUAAAUAAAUUCCAGUUCUCAGAAGACAGCAUUCUUUCUAAAGCAGUUUUUCUGAGGAAAUCACUUUUUCACGCAGUUGAAAUAUAGUGUUUAAUUCCUGUGCU
ensembl:lncRNA